rfam:Vigna radiata var. radiata cultivar VC1973A scaffold_823, whole genome shotgun sequence
AAUGGACGGGACAAAGGAUCGCGAUCCCGCGAGGGUGAGCUAACUCCAAAAACCCGUCCUCAGUUCGGAUUGUAGGCUGCAACUCGCCUNCAUGAAG